rnacentral:rRNA from 1 species
AAGUGGCGAAAGGGGCAGUAAGGCGUGGCUAACCUACCCCGGGGACGGGGAUAGCCUUCCUAACGGAAAGGUAAUACCUGGCGAGUUGGUCGAGGGGCAUCCCUUGGCCAGGAAAUGUCGCCUCGGGAGGGGGUCACGUGGUAUUAGCUAGACGGCGGGGUAACGGCCCACCGUGGCUGAGAUGCCUAGCGGGUGUGAGAGCACGACCCGCGCCACUGGCACUGAGACACUGGCCAGACUCCUACGGGAGGCUGCAGUCGAGGAUCUUCGGCAAUGGGCGCAAGCCUGACCGAGCGACGCCGCGUGUGCGAUGAAGGCCUUCGGGUUGUAAAGCACUGUCGAGGGGGAGGAAGCUCCGCAAGGGGUUGACCUAUCCCUGGAGGAAGCACGGGCUAAGUUCGUGCCAGCAGCCGCGGUAAGACGAACCGUGCGAACGUUGUUCGGAAUCACUGGGCUUAAAGGGCGCGUAGGCGGGCUAGCAAGUCCGGGGUGAAAUCUUUCGGCUUAACCGGAAAAGUGCCUUGGAUACUGCUGGUCUGGAGUGAGGUAGGGGCCGCGGGAACUUCCGGUGGAGCGGUGAAAUGCGUUGAUAUCGGAAGGAACGCCGGUGGCGAAAGCGCGCGGCUGGCCCUCAAC